UGUGGGAGCGAGCCUGCUCGCGAUAGCGGUAUGUCAGUGACUUCUGCAUCGACUGAUUCACCGCUAUCGUGAGCAGGCUCGCUCCCACA
rnacentral:misc_RNA from 1 species